CACGGAGUUAGCCGGGGCUUAUUCUCCCGGUACAGUCAUUAUCUUCCCGGGUGAAAGAGCUUUACAACCCUAGGGCCUUCAUCACUCACGCGGCAUUGCUGGAUCAGGCUUUCGCCCAUUGUCCAAUAUUCCCCA
rnacentral:rRNA from 1 species